rnacentral:lncRNA from 1 species
GUUGUAGUCCUACAUGUUGUAUACACACUGGAAUUGAUAGAUCACAUAAACAUUACACGAUCAUCAAGUUAUAGAGGUCCAAAGUAGGCACCUCGAACUGUUCUUCGUGAAGAACAGCUCUGACAGCUAAUUUGAUGGCCAAUAUCUCCCAGAUCUGAUGUUUUUUAGCCAUGAUGUUUGAUUGUAAUUGUAGUAUUGUAUUUCCUCUACAAGAUCUGAUCAAGAACAGACUUAGAAACACAACACACACAAAGUUAUAACCGGUCAAACUAGCUGACUUGAGAACCGGUUAUGAAGUUCUGGAUUUGAUGAAGAACACCUAUAGCGACAGUUAUGUCACUAUAGGCCCCUUUAGCG